ensembl:misc_RNA Metazoa_SRP Metazoan signal recognition particle RNA
GCUGGGCGUGGUGGCGCGUGCCUGUAAUCCCAGCUACUCGGGAGGCUGAGGCAGGAGAAUUGCCUGAACCCAGGAGGCGGAGGUGGCGGUGAGCCGAGAUCACGCCAUUGCACUCCAGCCUGGCGCCUGGCGACGGAGUGAGAAUGUGUCUCAAAAAAAUAAAAAAUAAAAAUAAAAUAAUAAUAGGAUAAAGUUGUCACCGGGCUGGAGUGCAGUGGUGCGAUCUCGGCUCACUGCAACCUCUGCCUCCCGGGUUCAAGAAAUUCUCCCGCCUCAG